CACACCCUCCUCUGGGUUGAAAAGCCGAGCACAGGGCCUGGCUCAGUGACUCCUGUACCCCAACAUGGACACGCUUUGCUCCACGCUCCUGCUGCUGACCUUCCCUUCCUGGGUCUUGUCCCAGGUCACCUUGAAGGAAUCUGGUCCUGCUCAGGUGAAACCCACACAGACCCUCACGCUGACCUGCACCUUCUCUAGGUUCUCACUCAGCACUUCUGGAAUGGGUGUGGGCUGGAUCCGUCAGCCCCCAGGGAAGGCCCUGGAGUGGCUUGCAAUCAUUUAUUGGGAUGAUGAUAAAUACUACAGCUCAUCUCUGAAGAGCAGGCUCACCAUCUCUAAGGACACCUCCAAGAACCAAGUGGUUCUAACAAUGACCAACAUGGACCCUGUGGACACAGCCACAUAUUACUGUGCACGGAGACCACAGAGCCACAGCCCAGGGCGCCUCCUGUACAAGAACUCAAGCUGCUUCUCAGUGGUGCUUCCCCCACCCACCUCUGAGAACAGGAAAAUGUGGCUGAAAUGUCAUUUCCAGCCAGGGCCUGUGUUUCUUGUCCCCACCAGACUCAGAGCCUUGUCUUCUUCCCUCUUCUUUACUAAUAAAUGGCAUGUUCCCUGUUAG